GCAGGCGUGCUGGCGGCGAGUCCCUGCGGCUCGGGAUGGAGGGCCUGGCAACCGCUGAUGUGCUGCUGCCUGUCACUGUAGAUUUGCCCUUUCUAGAAUCCUUCCAGUAGAAUGUCCUAUAUAAGUGGAAUCACACAGCUGAACGUUUGUUUUGCCUUUGUGUCUUGCUAUUCCUCUGAAGAACAGAAGGCACAUCUUAAACCCCGACACUUCCCCUGCAUUCCAUGAGAUUAUAGCAAAAUGGACAUACCAAAUCCCCCAACUUCCAAAUGUAUCACUUAUUGGAAAAGAAAAGUUAAAUCUGAAUACAUGCGACUUCGACAACUUAAACGGCUUCAGGCAAACAUGGGUGCAAAGGCUCUGUAUGUAGCAAAUUUUGCGA